rnacentral:lncRNA from 1 species
GUGAACGCCCCUCCAGCCUUCGAGUCGUUCUUGCUCUUCGAGGGCGAGAAGAAGAUCACCAUUAACAAGGACACCAAGGUACCCAAUGCCUGUUUAUUCACCAUCAACAAAGAAGACCACACACUGGGAAACAUCAUUAAAUCGCUAAAGGACCCGCAAGUGCUAUUUGCUGGCUACAAAGUCCCCCACCCCUUGGAGCACAAGAUCAUCAUCCGAGUGCAGACCACGCCGGACUACAGCCCCCAGGAAGCCUUUACCAACGCCAUCACCGACCUCAUCAGUGAGCUGUCCCUGCUGGAGGAGCGCUUCCGGGUG